GUGGGGAAUCUUCCGCAAUGGACGAAAGUCUGACGGAGCAACGCCGCGUGAGUGAUGAAGGUCUUCGGAUUGUAAAGCUCUGUUAAUCGGGACGAAAGAGCCUAGUGUGAAUAAUGCUAGGAAGUGACGGUACCGGAAUAGAAAGCCACGGCUAACUACGUGCCAGCAGCCGCGGUAAUACGUAGGUGGCAAGCGUUGUCCGGAAUUAUUGGGCGUAAAGCGCGCGCAGGCGGAUCUGCCAGUCUGUCUUAAAAGUUCGGGGCUUAACCCCGUGAUGGGAUGGAAACUACAGAUCUAGAGUAUCGGAGAGGAAAGUGGAAUUCCUAGUGUAGCGGUGAAAUGCGUAGAUAUUAGGAAGAACACCAGUGGCGAAGGCGACUUUCUGGACGAAAACUGACGCUGAGGCGCGAAAGCUAGGGGAGCGAACGGGAUUAGAUACCCGAGUAGUCC
rnacentral:rRNA from 1 species